rnacentral:rRNA from 1 species
UACGUAGGGGGCUAGCGUUGCUCGGAAUCACUGGGCGUAAAGGGUGCGUAGGCGGGCCUUUAAGUCUGGGGUGAAAUCCUGGAGCUCAACUCCAGAACUGCCUUUGAUACUGAGGAUCUUGAGUUCGGGAGAGGUGAGUGGAACUGCGAGUGUAGAGGUGAAAUUCGUAGAUAUUCGCAAGAACACCAGUGGCGAAGGCGGCUCACUGGCCCGAUACUGACGCUGAGGCACGAAAGCGUGGGGAGCAAACAGG